rnacentral:rRNA from 1 species
UUGGGUUUAAAGGGAGCGUAGGCCCGUUUGGUAAGCGUGUUGUGAAAUGUAGUAGCUCAACUUUUAGAUUGCAGCGCGAACUGUCAGACUUGAGCGCGCACAACGUAGGCGGAAUUCAUGGUGUAGCGGUGAAAUGCUUAGAUAUCAUGAAGAACUCCGAUUGCGAAGGCAGCUUACGGGAGCGCAACUGACGCUGAAGCUCGAAGGUGCGGGUAUCGAACAGGAUUAGAUACCCUGGUAGUCCGCACAGUAAACGAUGGAUGCCCGCUGUUAGCACCUAGUGUUAGCGGCUAAGCGAAAGCAUUAAGCAUCCCACCUGGGGAGUACGCCGGCAACGGUGAAACUCAAAGGAAUUGACGGGGGCCCGCACAAGCGGAGGAACAUGUGGUUUAAUUCGAUGAUACGCGAGGAACCUUACCCGGGCUUGAAUUGCAGAUGAACGAUUUAGAGAUAAUGAGGUCCUUCGGGACAUCUGUGAAGGUGCUGCAUGGUUGUCGUCAGCUCGUGCCGUGAGGUGUCGGCUUAAGUGCCAUAACGAGCGCAACCCCUUUCUUUAGUUGCCAUCAGGUUCUGCUGGGCACUCUGGAGAUACUGCCACCGUAAGGUGUGAGGAAGGUGGGGAUGACGUCAAAUCAGCACGGCCCUUACGUCCGGGGCUACACACGUGUUACAAUGGGUGGUACAGAUAGUUGGUCGUAUGCAAAUACGAUCUAAUCCUUAAAACCAUUCUCAGUUCGGACUGGGGUCUGCAACCCGACCCCACGAAGCUGGAUUCGCUAGUAAUCGCGCAUCAGCCAUGGCGCGGUGAAUACGUUCCCGGGCCUUGUACACACCGCCCGUCAAGCCAUGAAAGCCGGGGGUGCCUGAAGUUCGUGACCGUAAGGAUCGACCUAGGGCAAAACUGGUAAUUGGGGCUAAGUCGUAACAAGGUAACCGUAAAGGGCG